rnacentral:lncRNA from 1 species
UUUAAAACUAAAUAUAAAAAUUAAUGAAUUUAAAUUUAAUACAUAAACAUUGAUUCAAUAUGUAAUUUAAUACAUAAAAAAAACACACACACACACACACAUAGACAUACUCACUAAGUAUUACUAUUUCUAAAACAAAAUUCAUCCUGGUGAGAAAAGAAUGCCAAAUCAUCAUCAACACUCAUUAAUCAAAGGAAAAAGAUCAGAAAAGAAGAAGAAACAAUAUACAACAGAGGGCUGGUUCAAGCUUAGAUGAAGCCAAAGUAUUACAAUGCCUGCAUAUAACUUAGAGAAUUCCUCCGGAGUGUGAGCUAUCUCGAGACUGUCUCUAACCUCCAUUGCCAUUUGUAACCUCGUCUGAAUUGCUGCUCAAGGAACACACACAAGCAAAAAAUUAAAAGAAAUUGACAAUUCUGUCAAUGUUUAUAUUCAUUUUACAAGAGAACCAAACAGAAAACCAUACAGAGAAUAAAAACGUUUAUAUAUUUGGCUUCAUGAGCUGAAAUCACAGACAAGUUACAUCAACAAAGAAGCAAAAAAAAUGUCCAACUAGAGUAUGGAUGAAAACCUAUUUUCCAUAAGCAAUUUGUAAUUAUUGCAGUGCACAAAAUAACAAUUAUUGUAGUACAUUUCUUCUCUACUUUAACCAUCCUUUCCACCCCAUCAAACCUAAACAUUUCCCCCCUUUCCCAAGAAUAUAUAGAACUAUAAGAUUCCACAGAAGAUAAGCUUAAAUGCUAUUUUACACGUCAAAACAACUGUUUUCAACAUUUUUACAACAGAACCUACACUUCGUGAGACUUCAAAAAUGAAUAAGAACAAGUUCCAACAGAGUUACAUAUUUGAAGGAUCAGACAUGAAAAACAGAAGACUCAUAAAGAGAUUAUAUACUUUUAGAAAACUAUUCACUCAAGUUCAUUCAAACCUAUAUUAUAUUUCUGUCUCGAAUGUCAUUAACACAAAUGAAGGGCUGUGUUAAAGGCUGUCACUAUAUUGUAAACCAUUAUCACUGCAUUAUGUAUAGUAGAAGAAAAGUUCCAUGGAGAUCAGUUUAUUUUUCCUGCUGUGCUGUUAACCCCAACAUAAUCACUCAGUUUGAAACAAAAUUUGCUAUUAAGAACAAAAGUACACUUGAAACAACCAACUUUCUAUUAUUUCCCAGACACAAUUGUUACAUCUUCUUAUUUAGCUUAGAAUAAAAUUUCAAAAGAAUAGGUAGGCUAAACAUUCAUGCAAGCAAACUGUAAAAUUGAAGGUAGCAAAUUCUCAUUAAUCUCCAUUUUUAACAAAAACACAAAACUGGAAUUUGGAAUGAUACCCUUCAAGGUCAAUACUCAAAGCUUCUCGGCUGACAUAAGAAACAGAAAGCAUAAAUAAUAGGGUCCAAAAUUGAUCUAAACUUAAAAACUAAACAUACCCAGAUUUCAAAUCUAGAAACUAAUCAACAUCCAAUAAAUUGAAACCAGAACACCCAGAGUAGCAAAAACAGCUGCAGGAUUCUUUUAAAUAUUAGCACUAGAAACAAAUUUGCACCAACAUUCAAAGAGGUAAUAAUCCACAAGUCUACAAAUCAGCUAAGGUAAUUAUCUUUCACCCAUAGUUUUUGCUUAAUAAAAUUAUGCUCCCAAGCUGAUAAGUAAUCCGAUUCAAACACAUAAUUUCACCUAAAAUUAUGUUGAUCAUCAAACCCCGGAAUACUGAUAUAAUGGAAAAAAAUAAAAAGAAGAUUAAAUUUUCCACAUAAAUCGAAACUAGGAAAAACAAAAGGAAAAAAGCACCAUUAAAUCUAAAAACGUAAAAUUUGAAAGCAGAAUCGAAAGUAAGGAAAAGGUAAAAACAGAAAGUACGAAAAAGUAGUGUAGGAAGAGAAAUCAGAGGCAGAGACCAUGACUGCAAUGGAAGCAGCAGAAAAUGCACGUUGAUAUAUCCUUAGCAUUAACCCACUCACCGUUCCUGGACUUCCUAUAAACACCUUCUUCUUGUUCUUUCAAGCUAAGGGCAGAUAUAUUAGUCUGAGCACAAAUACAUUAAAAUACUUACAUUAGCAUACAGUGAAAAAGCUUUCUCAUAUUGCCCAUUAAUAAAAUAAUAAUUCGAGAUUAUGUAUAUGAUAUUAAUACCAUAUUUAUAUAGAUAAACAGAAAUAUAAUCCCCCUUGUCAUGGGCAAACAAAAACAGAUCAGUGCUGGUAAAGAAGGCUAUUCUUUUUUGUAAAUUCUCUGUAUCAAACUCCACUAUAUCACAAGUAUAUUAGAGCGGGAACAGCUGAAAAGAAUGUGAUGUGAAGGGGCAAACGUAAUGCCUCCAUACACAACCAAAAAAAAAAAAAUAAAGAAAACUUUAUUAAACCGAGUAUGUUUACAGACUUUAAACCAACAGUAAUACAGAUUUAAAAACCAAUAGCUAAAUAUUUAAAUACAUUAAAUAUUUGAAUUUAAUAAGUUUUACAUUUUUAAUAUAUUAUUUGCAUAAAAAGUAAAUAAAUUCAAAGAAAGAUUUGUAUCUGUUGCAGACAAUAACUAUAAUAUUCAAAUCAAAAUAUUAUUAUACAAAUUUAGAAAAAUAAAUGAGAAAAAGGAUUAAAAAUCCGAACCUGCAUUACCUUAUUUCUAAAAGGAAAUCAUGAACCCGUUUCUGAUCCAUUGAUUUAAGGGCAUCUUAAACGAACAAGAACAUUGAUCAAGUUAACUAAAUGUUUCCUCAUAAACAUGGCUUCAUCCAAAACAAAACCUCAUACCAUUAGAAUUUGCCUUUUAAGCAGAAGCUGCUGCAACCUUCUUCCUUGGUGCUGCUUCAAUACCUAUACAUCACCUCCAAUAAAAAAUAAGAACAUUUUGAAAGAAAAAAAAACCCAAAAUUUCUUACAAGAAUAGAAAUACGCAAUGGAACUAAAAUCAGAAAGCAAUGAGCCUAAGGACAUUAGCAUUUUCCUACCUUCCCUGAAACAUAUCUUGAACCUACGAGGAACAUGGUGAAGAUACCUCUAUACACCAGUGAUGGAGAUGUUAGCCUCAUCUAAUUGAAACCAACAGCUAGAAACACAAAUAAUCUCACAAGUUUAAAAACCCAAAAUAACCAUAAGACAAUGAUGCUUUGAACCCCUGUGAAAUUAUCAAAACAAAAGACAAAGGCAAUGUUUGCAAAAGAACAAUAAAUAAAAUCCCUUCUUCAAUCUUCCAGCCACCAAAUCAAAGGGAAAAAUUCCGUUACUUCUUAAUACAGAUUUGUCAAAACAACAUAAAUGAAUCAUUAUUUCAGAAACCCAAAAAAAGCAAAAUUAUAAAGAAAUAAUCUGAAAUUAAAAUAAGGGAAAAAAUAGAGAGCACAAUUUACCUAGAAUUAAAAGAAACCCUAACAGAUCGAGAGAAAAGGAGUAGUUAUGGUGGGUGAAUUCAGUGCAAUGAAAUGAAAAGGAAAAAGAAGUGUGAUUGGGGCGCGCGACGGAUAUGAGAAGAAGAGGGAGUAACGAAUGGGUAACCAAAAAUUAUUUUUUGAGAGUGAGCGGGAUUUUGAUUUCCCCUUUUUGGUAUAAAAAAUAAUUGUCUUUUGCGGGUUUUCACAAAAAAAGCCAUUAUAGCUCAAAUUUUAA